UGCUAUUGAUGCUUGUGGUU
rnacentral:siRNA from 1 species